CUCCUCCCACUUGUGACAUCUGUGAUUUUGUCCAUCCCCACGUCCCCACCAAAAACUCUCAUCACCCACAGCUUCGUGGUGCUUGCCGGGCACUGGCUGCCGACCCGGGGUCAGCUGCGUCCCCCACCCGACACUAAUGAGGAGGGAUCUGUCUGCAGGGAACCUUCCAGCACUGCUGCGGCCGCUGCUGUCUUUGAACCUGCCCGUCCCCCUCAACCCGCUGCUGCCGUGACCCCCCGACGUUCCUCCCCUCCUGUUACAACUCGUUAAUUUAACUCAUUAAUAAAACGCUUCCGCUUUCA